UGGGGAAUCUUGCGCAAUGGGCGAAAGCCUGACGCAGCCAUGCCGCGUGAGUGAUGAAGGCCUUAGGGUUGUAAAACUCUUUCACCGGGGACGAUAAUGACGGUACCCGGAGAAGAAGCCCCGGCUAACUUCGUGCCAGCAGCCGCGGUAAUACGAAGGGGGCUAGCGUUGCUCGGAAUUACUGGGCGUAAAGGGCGCGUAGGCGGAUCAGCAAGUUGGGGGUGAAAGCCCGGGGCUCAACCUCGGAAUUGCCUUCAAAACUGCUGAUCUAGAGUACGGGAGAGGUGUGUGGAACUCCGAGUGUAGAGGUGAAAUUCGUAGAUAUUCGGAAGAACACCAGUGGCGAAGGCGACACACUGGCCCGUUACUGACGCUGAGGCGCGAAAGCGUGGGGAGCAAAACAGGAUUAGAUACCCUGGUAGUCCACGCUGUAAACGAUGAUUGCUAGUUGUCGGCAGGCAUGCCUGUCGGUGACGCAGCUAACGCAUUAAGCAAUCCGCCUGGGGAGUACGGUCGCAAGAUUAAAAACUUAAAUGAAUUGACGGGGUCAUAGCUGUUU
rnacentral:rRNA from 1 species